rnacentral:rRNA from 1 species
GGUUAAGCGACUAAGCGUACACGGUGGAUGCCCUGGCAGUCAGAGGCGAUGAAGGACGUGCUAAUCUGCGAUAAGCGUCGGUGAGGUGAUAUGAACCGUUAUAACCGGCGAUUUCCGAAUGGGGAAACCCAGUGUGAUUCGUCACACUAUCAUUAACUGAAUCCAUAGGUUAAUGAGGCGAACCGGGGGAACUGAAACAUCUAAGUACCCCGAGGAAAAGAAAUCAACCGAGAUUCCCCCAGUAGCGGCGAGCGAACGGGGAGGAGCCCAGAGCCUGAAUCAGUGUGUGUGUUAGUGGAAGCGUCUGGAAAGGCGCGCGAUACAGGGUGACAGCCCCGUACACAAAAAUGCACAUACUGUGAGCUCGAUGAGUAGGGCGGGACACGUGGUAUCCUGUCUGAAUAUGGGGGGACCAUCCUCCAAGGCUAAAUACUCCUGACUGACCGAUAGUGAACCAGUACCGUGAGGGAAAGGCGAAAAGAACCCCGGCGAGGGGAGUGAAAAAGAACCUGAAACCGUGUACGUACAAGCAGUGGGAGCCUCUUUAUGGGGUGACUGCGUACCUUUUGUAUAAUGGGUCAGCGACUUAUAUUCUGUAGCAAGGUUAACCGAAUAGGGGAGCCGAAGGGAAACCGAGUCUUAACUGGGCGUUAAGUUGCAGGGUAUAGACCCGAAACCCGGUGAUCUAGCCAUGGGCAGGUUGAAGGUUGGGUAACACUAACUGGAGGACCGAACCGACUAAUGUUGAAAAAUUAGCGGAUGACUUGUGGCUGGGGGUGAAAGGCCAAUCAAACCGGGAGAUAGCUGGUUCUCCCCGAAAGCUAUUUAGGUAGCGCCUCGUGAAUUCAUCUCCGGGGGUAGAGCACUGUUUCGGCAAGGGGGUCAUCCCGACUUACCAACCCGAUGCAAACUGCGAAUACCGGAGAAUGUUAUCACGGGAGACACACGGCGGGUGCUAACGUCCGUCGUGAAGAGGGAAACAACCCAGACCGCCAGCUAAGGUCCCAAAGUCAUGGUUAAGUGGGAAACGAUGUGGGAAGGCCCAGACAGCCAGGAUGUUGGCUUAGAAGCAGCCAUCAUUUAAAGAAAGCGUAAUAGCUCACUGGUCGAGUCGGCCUGCGCGGAAGAUGUAACGGGGCUAAACCAUGCACCGAAGCUGCGGCAGCGACACUAUGUGUUGUUGGGUAGGGGAGCGUUCUGUAAGCCUGUGAAGGUGUACUGUGAGGUAUGCUGGAGGUAUCAGAAGUGCGAAUGCUGACAUAAGUAACGAUAAAGCGGGUGAAAAGCCCGCUCGCCGGAAGACCAAGGGUUCCUGUCCAACGUUAAUCGGGGCAGGGUGAGUCGACCCCUAAGGCGAGGCCGAAAGGCGUAGUCGAUGGGAAACAGGUUAAUAUUCCUGUACUUGGUGUUACUGCGAAGGGGGGACGGAGAAGGCUAUGUUGGCCGGGCGACGGUUGUCCCGGUUUAAGCGUGUAGGCUGGUUUUCCAGGCAAAUCCGGAAAAUCAAGGCUGAGGCGUGAUGACGAGGCACUACGGUGCUGAAGCAACAAAUGCCCUGCUUCCAGGAAAAGCCUCUAAGCAUCAGGUAACAUUAAAUCGUACCCCAAACCGACACAGGUGGUCAGGUAGAGAAUACCAAGGCGCUUGAGAGAACUCGGGUGAAGGAACUAGGCAAAAUGGUGCCGUAACUUCGGGAGAAGGCACGCUGAUAUGUAGGUGAAGCGACUUGCUCGUGGAGCUGAAAUCAGUCGAAGAUACCAGCUGGCUGCAACUGUUUAUUAAAAACACAGCACUGUGCAAACACGAAAGUGGACGUAUACGGUGUGACGCCUGCCCGGUGCCGGAAGGUUAAUUGAUGGGGUUAGCGGUAACGCGAAGCUCUUGAUCGAAGCCCCGGUAAACGGCGGCCGUAACUAUAACGGUCCUAAGGUAGCGAAAUUCCUUGUCGGGUAAGUUCCGACCUGCACGAAUGGCGUAAUGAUGGCCAGGCUGUCUCCACCCGAGACUCAGUGAAAUUGAACUCGCUGUGAAGAUGCAGUGUACCCGCGGCAAGACGGAAAGACCCCGUGAACCUUUACUAUAGCUUGACACUGAACAUUGAGCCUUGAUGUGUAGGAUAGGUGGGAGGCUUUGAAGUGUGGACGCCAGUCUGCAUGGAGCCGGCCUUGAAAUACCACCCUUUAAUGUUUGAUGUUCUAACGUUGGCCCCUGACCGGGGUUGCGGACAGUGUCUGGUGGGUAGUUUGACUGGGGCGGUCUCCUCCUAAAGAGUAACGGAGGAGCACGAAGGUUGGCUAAUCCUGGUCGGACAUCAGGAGGUUAGUGCAAUGGCAUAAGCCAGCUUGACUGCGAGCGUGACGGCGCGAGCAGGUGCGAAAGCAGGUCAUAGUGAUCCGGUGGUUCUGAAUGGAAGGGCCAUCGCUCAACGGAUAAAAGGUACUCCGGGGAUAACAGGCUGAUACCGCCCAAGAGUUCAUAUCGACGGCGGUGUUUGGCACCUCGAUGUCGGCUCAUCACAUCCUGGGGCUGAAGUAGGUCCCAAGGGUAUGGCUGUUCGCCAUUUAAAGUGGUACGCGAGCUGGGUUUAGAACGUCGUGAGACAGUUCGGUCCCUAUCUGCCGUGGGCGCUGGAGAACUGAGGGGGGCUGCUCCUAGUACGAGAGGACCGGAGUGGACGCAUCACUGGUGUUCGGGUUGUCAUGCCAAUGGCACUGCCCGGUAGCUAAAUGCGGAAGAGAUAAGUGCUGAAAGCAUCUAAGCACGAAACUUGCCCCGAGAUGAGUUCUCCCUGACUCCUUGAGAGUCCUGAAGGAACGUUGAAGACGACGACGUUGAUAGGCCGGGUGUGUAAGCGCAGCGAUGCGUUGAGCUAACCGGUACUAAUGAACCGUGAGGCUUAACCUU